rnacentral:rRNA from 1 species
UUAAGCGACUAAGCGUACACGGUGGAUGCCCUGGCAGUCAGAGGCGAUGAAGGACGUGCUAAUCUGCGAAAAGCGUCGGUAAGGUGAUAUGAACCGUUAUAGCCGGCGAUGUCCGAAUGGGGAAACCCAGUGCAAUUCGUUGCACUAUCGUUAACUGAAUACAUAGGUUAACGAGGCGAACCGGGGGAACUGAAACAUCUAAGUACCCCGAGGAAAAGAAAUCAACCGAGAUUCCCCCAGUAGCGGCGAGCGAACGGGGAGCAGCCCAGAGUCUGAAUCAGCUUGUGUGUUAGUGGAACGGUCUGGAAAGUCCGACGGUACAGGGUGAUAGUCCCGUACACCAAAAUGCACAGGCUGUGAACUCGAAGAGUAGGGCGGGACACGUGGUAUCCUGUCUGAAUAUGGGGGGACCAUCCUCCAAGGCUAAAUACUCCUGACUGACCGAUAGUGAACCAGUACCGUGAGGGAAAGGCGAAAAGAACCCCGGCGAGGGGAGUGAAAAAGAACCUGAAACCGUGUACGUACAAGCAGUGGGAGCACCUUCGGGUGUGACUGCGUACCUUUUGUAUAAUGGGUCAGCGACUUAUAUUCUGUAGCAAGGUUAACCGUAUAGGGGAGCCGCAGGGAAACCGAGUCUUAACUGGGCGUUAAGUUGCAGGGUAUAGACCCGAAACCCGGUGAUCUAGCCAUGGGCAGGUUGAAGGUUGGGUAACACUAACUGGAGGACCGAACCGACUAAUGUUGAAAAAUUAGCGGAUGACUUGUGGCUGGGGGUGAAAGGCCAAUCAAACCGGGAGAUAGCUGGUUCUCCCCGAAAGCUAUUUAGGUAGCGCCUCGUGAACUCAUCUUCGGGGGUAGAGCACUGUUUCGGCUAGGGGGUCAUCCCGACUUACCAACCCGAUGCAAACUACGAAUACCGAAGAAUGUUAUCACGGGAGACACACGGCGGGUGCUAACGUCCGUCGUGAAGAGGGAAACAACCCAGACCGCCAGCUAAGGUCCCAAAGUCAUGGUUAAGUGGGAAACGAUGUGGGAAGGCACAGACAGCCAGGAUGUUGGCUUAGAAGCAGCCAUCAUUUAAAGAAAGCGUAAUAGCUCACUGGUCGAGUCGGCCUGCGCGGAAGAUGUAACGGGGCUAAACCAUGCACCGAAGCUGCGGCAGCGACACUAUGUGUUGUUGGGUAGGGGAGCGUUCUGUAAGCCUGCGAAGGUGACCUGUGAGGGUUGCUGGAGGUAUCAGAAGUGCGAAUGCUGACAUAAGUAACGAUAAAGCGGGUGAAAAGCCCGCUCGCCGGAAGACCAAGGGUUCCUGUCCAACGUUAAUCGGGGCAGGGUGAGUCGACCCCUAAGGCGAGGCCGAAAGGCGUAGUCGAUGGGAAACAGGUUAAUAUUCCUGUACUUGGUGUUACUGCGAAGGGGGGACGGAGAAGGCUAUGUUAGCCGGGCGACGGUUGUCCCGGUUUAAGCAUGUAGGCUGGUUAUCCAGGCAAAUCCGGAUAAUCAAGGCUGAGGUGUGAUGACGAGGCACUACGGUGCUGAAGUAACAAAUGCCCUGCUUCCAGGAAAAGCCUCUAAGCAUCAGGUAACAUCAAAUCGUACCCCAAACCGACACAGGUGGUCAGGUAGAGAAUACCAAGGCGCUUGAGAGAACUCGGGUGAAGGAACUAGGCAAAAUGGUGCCGUAACUUCGGGAGAAGGCACGCUGGUGUGUAGGUGAAGCCCCUGCGGGUGGAGCUGAGACCAGUCGAAGAUACCAGCUGGCUGCAACUGUUUAUUAAAAACACAGCACUGUGCAAACACGAAAGUGGACGUAUACGGUGUGACGCCUGCCCGGUGCCGGAAGGUUAAUUGAUGGGGUUAUCCGUAAGGAGAAGCUCUUGAUCGAAGCCCCGGUAAACGGCGGCCGUAACUAUAACGGUCCUAAGGUAGCGAAAUUCCUUGUCGGGUAAGUUCCGACCUGCACGAAUGGCGUAAUGAUGGCCAGGCUGUCUCCACCCGAGACUCAGUGAAAUUGAACUCGCUGUGAAGAUGCAGUGUACCCGCGGCAAGACGGAAAGACCCCGUGAACCUUUACUAUAGCUUGACACUGAACAUUGAGCCUUGAUGUGUAGGAUAGGUGGGAGGCUUUGAAGCGUGGACGCCAGUCUGCGUGGAGCCAACCUUGAAAUACCACCCUUUAAUGUUUGAUGUUCUAACGUUGGCCCCUGACCGGGGUUGCGGACAGUGUCUGGUGGGUAGUUUGACUGGGGCGGUCUCCUCCCAAAGCGUAACGGAGGAGCACGAAGGUUAGCUAAUCCUGGUCGGACAUCAGGAGGUUAGUGCAAUGGCAUAAGCUAGCUUGACUGCGAGCGUGACGGCGCGAGCAGGUGCGAAAGCAGGUCAUAGUGAUCCGGUGGUUCUGAAUGGAAGGGCCAUCGCUCAACGGAUAAAAGGUACUCCGGGGAUAACAGGCUGAUACCGCCCAAGAGUUCAUAUCGACGGCGGUGUUUGGCACCUCGAUGUCGGCUCAUCACAUCCUGGGGCUGAAGUAGGUCCCAAGGGUAUGGCUGUUCGCCAUUUAAAGUGGUACGCGAGCUGGGUUUAGAACGUCGUGAGACAGUUCGGUCCCUAUCUGCCGUGGGCGCUGGAGAAUUGAGGGGGGCUGCUCCUAGUACGAGAGGACCGGAGUGGACGCAUCACUGGUGUUCGGGUUGUCAUGCCAAUGGCACUGCCCGGUAGCUAAAUGCGGAAGAGAUAAGUGCUGAAAGCAUCUAAGCACGAAACUUGCCCCGAGAUGAGUUCUCCCUGAGACUUUAAGUCUCCUGAAGGAACGUUAAAGACGAUGACGUUGAUAGGCCGGGUGUGUAAGCGCAGCGAUGCGUUGAGCUAACCGGUACUAAUGAACCGUGAGGCUUAACCUU